UGGGGGAUCGUUCAACGGUAGGACAACGGGCUCUGAACCCGUGAAUCAAGGUUCGAAUCCUUGUCCCCCAGCCA
rnacentral:tRNA from 1 species